rnacentral:tRNA from 1 species
GCCCGAGUAGCUCAGUCGGUAGAGCGUUAGGCUUUUAACCUAACGUUCCAGGGUUCAAGCCCCUGCUCGGGCG